UACAUGGGGUGCAAACGUUGCUCGGAAUUAUUGGGCGUAAAGCGCACGUAGGCGGUUUGUUAAGUCGGAUGUGAAAUCCCUCGGCUCAACUGAGGAAGUGCACCCGAAACUGGCAGCUUGAGUACUAAAGAGGGUCGCGGAAUUCCCGGUGUAGAGGUGAAAUUCGUAGAUAUCGGGAGGAACACCGGUGGCGAAGGCGGCGACCUGGGUAGAUACGUGACGCUGAGGUGCGAAAGCGUGGGGAGCAAACAGGGAUUAAGAAACCCUGAGUACGUC
rnacentral:rRNA from 1 species